CCUACGGGAGGCAGCAGUGGGGAAUAUUGCACAAUGGGGGAAACCCUGAUGCAGCGACGCCGCGUGAGUGAAGAAGUAUUUCGGUAUGUAAAGCUCUAUCAGCAGGGAAGAAAAUGACGGUACCUGAGUAAGAAGCCACGGCUAACUACGUGCCAGCAGCCGCGGUAAUACGUAGGGGGCAAGCGUUAUCCGGAUUUACUGGGUGUAAAGGGAGCGGAGACGGCAGCACAAGUCUGGAGUGAAAUGCCGGGGCUUAACCCCGGAACUGCUUUGGAAACGGUGCAGCUAGCGUGCAGGAGCGGUCAGUUGAAUUCCUAGUGUAGCGGUGAAAUGCGUCGAUAUUAGGAGGAACACCAGUGGCGGAGGCGGCUUACUGGACUGUACCUGACGUUGCGGCUCGCAAGCGUGGGGAGCAAACAGGAUUAGAUACCCUUGUAGUC
rnacentral:rRNA from 1 species